rnacentral:misc_RNA from 1 species
CUCAACUUGCAAAUUUAUUAGUAAUUGAUGGCCAAAUACACCAAGAACAGUAACUAAGAAUCUCCCAAACUGCUUUUAACAUACUGAUUUAUUACUCAAAAUUCUAAACGUAAAAGCAAGUGUGUAACAGAACCAUACUACAUUGAGAAAGUAAUACUAAAAUUACAAACAACCUUCACCAAGUACAUGCAUCCAAACAAACAUCGCUCAUUCUUGGCAUCUCCAUAAGUAUUCAUUUCCCAUAUUUUUAAUCAUGCAGCUACAUUUUAAUAUUACUCAUUGGCUUCAGCACCCGGAGGAGUUUCCACAGCUCCAUGAGCUGAUGGACCAUCUUCUGCAGGCUUGGAAACAUCUGCUUCUUUAGUUUCUGCAGGUUCGCCAGCAGAAGCAGCUUCGCCAGCAGAAGCAGCUUCAUCAGUUACUGGGACAGGCUUCUUAAUAGUUCCGACCUUAACAUACUUGCUCAUGAACUUGUAUUCCCAAUCCUGCAAGGCCUCCAACUCGAACGGACCAAGACCAGAGAUAUCACCAGUCAAAUCUUUGUCUUCAAAGGACAUCUUAGCAAGAGCUCUGCUGGCAUCCUUUCCAGCAAAUAAUGCAUAAGGUCCACCAGGUCCAUAAAACAUCCUGCUCUGAGAGAUGUCAUAGAUCUGACCCUUAAUAGCCAUGAGCAGAGGCUUCUUAGGAUCAGAGCCAUCAUAUUGCUUGAGCUCCUCCUCAGUAAUCUCACCAAGCUGAACAGGAGGAGGCAGAGGCUGCACCUGCUCCUCAACACUUCUAGGCCUCGCAUGAUUAUCCGAGGAUCCAAAGAACUCAGAUAUAACAUAGUAGACCGCCAAACCCAAAGCCAAGACUGUGAAGAAAGUGGCUGGAGAGAGCCCAGUAUAGACGGUUAUUGCUUCCUUGAGCGUCUCCCACAGCUGCAAAGCCAUUUUUAUUGGUUUUUGCUAGGCAAGAGAGAAAGAAAGAGGAGAAAAUAGGAGAGAUGGUCUGGUGAGAGCCUCAAAGCUCAAAGGCGUACUUGGGCUGAGAUUCCCAGCCAAGCCAGAUGCUGACACAAUACUUAUUUGUAUAAUUUUCCUCUCUAUGAAGUUACUUAAUUACCCCUAGUUAGGUGGACCUAUUAUCGAUUAAAUUUCAUCGACCCUCUACUACUAUUUUUUAUAUUUUCUUAUUUUUCCAGUGAAAUGUCUCGAUUGCCCUUUAGAUGUCCUUCCAAAUCCAAAUGCCCACCAAAUCAGAAAAUAAUAUGGCAUUUCCGUGAUUUAUGAAUACCUGCUUGUUGGCCUCACCGCCGACGGCGCCGUUGCUAACAUUACAGACACGACCGGUGCUGCUGCCCUGGUGGAGCUUGUGAGGCAUACGCAUGUGAAAAACGCGGCACUCACCUUGAUCGGCGAUGACCAAGGGCAUGUAACCCUUGUUCCUAAUGGGCCUUGAAAAAAAAUAGUGAGUUUGAGUGUGAGAUCGAAGACGAUGUACUGCCAGCUUUUUUACUCUCUUUGUGGUGGUGAUAGCUCCAGAGAAUAAACAUGGAUAUGAAAAAACAAAGCCUUGUCUGUAAAAGACCAAUUCUUCCAUUUUUGAGACUCUGAGUUUGGUUGCAGAUCAGAAAUGGUGUACCUUUGUGUCCGCAGAGUCGGCGAGCACCAAAUUAGGGAUUUUGGUCUCUUUUCUUUCUCGUUAUUUUUUUUUUUU